AACGAGAUUCCCACUGUCCCUAACUACUAUCUAGCGAAACCACAGCCAAGGGAACGGGCUUGGCAAAAUCAGCGGGGAAAGAAGACCCUGUUGAGCUUGACUCUAGUCUGACUUUGUGAAGAGACAUGAGAGGUGUAGCAUAAGUGGGAGCUUUGGGAUCAAUCUUGGUUGUUGCUUCUGUAGCAGCUAAGACCCCUUGGCAACAAUGAAAUACCACUACUCUCAUAGUUUCUUUACUUACACGGUUAAAGGGAAAUUGGGAUAGUGUCUCUCUCACUUGGGUUUACUCAAGGUUCGGGAAGGCCCCCUAUCCUUAAAUUCUAGAGCAAAGUGUAGAUACUUUCAUUAACGCUUGAGACCCUAACUUUUGCCUUGUCCUUCACGGGACUUGAUGAUUUUUAGACUCAAGUUUGAAAGGUAACGUAGUUGCACCGUAAAGAUACUUGUAUCUGGUGUACUCUACAAUCAGCAUGAUCCUCACCGUGGACAUUGUCAGGCUGGGCGUUUGACUGGGGCGGUACAUCUGUCAAAAGGUAACGCAGGUGUCCUAAGGC
rnacentral:rRNA from 1 species